UACGGAGGAUCCAAGCGUUAUCCGGAAUCAUUGGGCUUAAAGGGUCCGUAGGCGGUUUAAUAAGUCAGUGGUGAAAGCCCAUCGCUCAACGGUGGAACGGCCAUUGAUACUGUUAAACUUGAAUUAUUAGGAAGUAACUAGAAUAUGUAGUGUAGCGGUGAAAUGCUUAGAGAUUACAUGGAAUACCAAUUGCGAAGGCAGGUUACUACUAAUGGAUUGACGCUGAUGGACGAAAGCGUGGGUAGCGAACAGG
rnacentral:rRNA from 1 species